rnacentral:tRNA from 1 species
UCUCUUUAUAGGAUAUUACAGUCCGUAAGCUUGUGGAGCUUAAUGUUCAGUUGAUGGAGAGUU